rfam:Triticum aestivum genome assembly, contig: Triticum_aestivum_CS42_TGACv1_scaffold_513460_6BS
UAUAUACUCCCUCCGUCCGAAAAUACUUGUCAUCAAAAUAGAUAAAAAAGGAUGAAUCUAGACGUAUUUUAGUUCUAAAUACAUCUCUUUCUAUCUAUUUUGAUGACAUGUAUUUUCGGACGGAGGAAGUAUGAG